rnacentral:ncRNA from 1 species
CAUUAGACAUUGAAGAGAAGAGUAACGUUAACGCAUUCCUAAAGAGAGCUUCGUUUGGUGAGAGAAGUGGUUUGCAGCGACGUGAAGAUGAGCUCUGAGUCAGAUAUCCGGUCAAAAGGCUAGGAUAUCCGCGAGUCCGCGAUAUUGGACCGGGUAUUCCAAGGAGUACUUAUUAAGGCUGUCAUUGUGAGGUGACAGUAAAUCAGGGUGGCAUCGCGAAGCUUUCGUCCCGUAG